rnacentral:rRNA from 1 species
UACGAAGGGGGCUAGCGUUGCUUGGAAUCACUGGGCGUAAAGGGCGCGUAGGCGGCCGGCCAAGUCGGGGGUGAAAGCCUGUGGCUCAACCACAGAAUGGCCCUCGAUACUGGCUGGCUCGAGACCGGAAGAGGUUGGUGGAAUUGCGAGUGUAGAGGUGAAAUUCGUAGAUAUUCGCAAGAACACCGGUGGCGAAGGCGGCCAACUGGUCCGGAUCUGACGCUGAGGCGCGAAAGCGUGGGGAGCAAACAGG